rnacentral:tRNA from 1 species
AGGUACUUAGGAUAACACUCAAACCGGAGACCUUCAAAGUCACAGACAAGAGUAUCCACCCUCUUAGUACCUG